UUCCAAGUUCCAGGGAAGUGUCCUACCC
rnacentral:sRNA from 1 species